GACGAACGCUGGCGGCGUGCCUAACACAUGCAAGUCGAGAGAAUGAAAUUCCUUCGGGAACGGAUUUAGCGGCGGACGGGCGAGUAACAUGUGGGCAACCUGCCUCAUAGAGGGGAAUAGCCUUCCGAAAGGGAGGUUAAUAUCGCCUUAGCUUGUAGUACCGCAUGGUACAGCAAUUAAAGGAGCAAUCCGCUAUGAGCUGGACCCGCGGCGCAUUAGCUAGUUGGUGAGGUAACGGCUCACCAAGGCGACGCCACGACGCCGAACUGCGAGGGUGAUCGGCCACAUUGGGACUGAGACACGGCCCAGACUCCUACGGGAGGCAGCAGUGGGGAAUAUUGCACAAUGGGGGAAACCCUGAUGCAGCAACGCCGCGUGAGUGAUGACGGUCUUCGGAUUGUAAAGCUCUGUCUUUGGGGACGAUAAUGACGGUACCCAAGGAGGAAGCCACGGCUAACUACGUGCCAGCCGCCGCUGUAACAC
rnacentral:rRNA from 1 species